rnacentral:rRNA from 1 species
UACGAAGGGGGCUAGCGUUGUUCGGAAUUACUGGGCGUAAAGAGUUCGUAGGCGGUCUGCUAAGCUAGAUGUGAAAUCCCAGGGCUUAACCUUGGAACUGCAUUUAGAACUGGUAGGCUAGAGAGUGUUAGAGGUUGGUAGAAUUCCUAGUGUAGGGGUGAAAUCCGUAGAUAUUAGGAGGAAUACCGAUGGCGAAGGCAGCCAACUGGGACAUUUCUGACGCUGAGGAACGAAAGCGUGGGGAGCAAACAGG